rnacentral:rRNA from 1 species
CCUACGGGAGGCAGCAGUGAGGAAUAUUGGUCAAUGGGCGCGAGUCUGAACCAGCCAAGUAGCGUGAAGGAUGACUGCCCUAUGGGUUGUAAACUUCUUUUAUAUGGGAAUAAAGUUAGGUAUGUAUACCUUUUUGUAUGUACCUUAUGAAUAAGGAUCGGCUAACUCCGUGCCAGCAGCCGCGGUAAUACGGAGGAUCCGAGCGUUAUCCGGAUUUAUUGGGUUUAAAGGGAGCGUAGGUGGGUUGUUAAGUCAGUUGUGAAAGUUUGCGGCUCAACCGUAAAAUUGCAUUUGAUACUGGCAGUCUUGAGUGCAGUAGAGGUAGGCGGAAUUCGUGGUGUAGCGGUGAAAUGCUUAGAUAUCACGAAGAACUCCGAUUGCGAAGGCAGCUUACUGGACUGCAACUGACGCUGAUGCUCGAAAGUGUGGGUAUCAAACAGGAUUAGAUACCCCAGUAGUC